rnacentral:rRNA from 1 species
CCUACGGUUGGCAGCAGUGGGGAAUAUUGCACAAUGGGGGAAACCCUGAUGCAGCGACGCCGCGUGAGCGAUGAAGUAUUUCGGUAUGUAAAGCUCUAUCAGCAGGGAAGAAAAUGACGGUACCUGACUAAGAAGCCCCGGCUAACUACGUGCCAGCAGCCGCGGUAAUACGUAGGGGGCAAGCGUUAUCCGGAUUUACUGGGUGUAAAGGGAGCGUAGAGGGCGGUGCAAGCCAGAUGUGAAAGCCCGGGGCUCAACCCCGGGACUGCAUUUGAAACUGGGCUGCUAGAGUGUCGGAGAGGCAGGCGGAAUGCCUGGUGUAGCGGUGAAAUGCGUAGAUAUUGGGAAGAACACCAGUGGCGAAGGCGGCCUGCUGGACGAUGACUGACGUUGAGGCUCGAAAGCGUGGGGAGCGAACAGGAUUAGAUACCCUAGUAGUC